rnacentral:rRNA from 1 species
GACGAACGCUGGCGGCGUGCUUAACACAUGCAAGUCGAACGGUAAGGCCCUUCGGGGUACACGAGUGGCGAACGGGUGAGUAACACGUGGGUAAUCUGCCCUGCACAUCGGGAUAAGCCUGGGAAACUGGGUCUAAUACCGAAUAGGACCACAGGACACAUGUCCUGUGGUGGAAAGCUUUUGCGGUGUGGGAUGGGCCCGCGGCCUAUCAGCUUGUUGGUGGGGUGAUGGCCUACCAAGGCGACGACGGGUAGCCGGCCUGAGAGGGUGUCCGGCCACACUGGGACUGAGAUACGGCCCAGACUCCUACGGGAGGCAGCAGGGGGGAAUAUUGCACAAUGGGCGAAAGCCUGAUGCAGCGACGCCGCGUGGGGGAUGACGGCCUUCGGGUUGUAAACCUCUUUCACCAUCGACGAAGGUCCGGGUUUUCUCGGGCUGACGGUAGGUGGAGAAGAAGCACCGGCCAACUACGUG